AUUGAACGCUGGCGGCAGGCCUAACACAUGCAAGUCGAACGAGUGGCGGACGGGUGAGUAAUGUCUGGGAAACUGCCUGAUGGGGGGGGAUAACUACUGGAAACGGUAGCUAAUACCGCAUACCAGCGGAUGUGCCCAGAGGGGAUUAGCUAGUAGGUGGGGUAACGGCUCACCUAGGCGACGAUCCCUAGCGGGUCUGAGAGGAUGAUCAGUCACACUGGAACUGAGACACGGCCCAGACUCCUACGGGAGGCAGCAGUGGGGAAUAUUGUACAAUGGGCGAAAGCCUGAUCCAGCCAUGCCGCGUGUGUGAAGAAGGUCUUCGGAUUGUAAAGCACUUUAAGUUGGGAGGCGUUACCAACAGAAGAAGCACCGGCUAACUUCGUGCCAGCAGCCGCGGUAAUAC
rnacentral:rRNA from 1 species